CAGAUGUGAAAGACCCGGGGCGUCAACCUCGGAAUUGCAUUUGUAAACUAGGCAGACUAGAGUACUGUAGAGGGGGGUAGGAAUUUCAGGUGUAGCGGUGAAAUGCGUAGAGAUCUGAAGGAAUACCGGUGGCGAAGGCGGCCCCCUGGACAGAUACUGACACUCAGAUGCGAAAGCGUGGGGAGCAAACAGGAUUAGAUACCCUGGUAG
rnacentral:rRNA from 1 species